CAGCUAGUUGGCGAGGUAACGGCUCACCAAGGCAACGACGGGUAGCUGGUCUGAGAGGAUGGCCAGCCACAUUGGGACUGAGAUACGGCCCAGACUCCUACGGGAGGCAGCAGUGGGGAAUCUUGCGCAAUGGCCUAACGGCUGACGCAGCGACGCCGCGUGUGGGAUGAAGCUCCUCGGAGUGUAAACCACUGUUGCCCGGGACGAAUAGCUCGAUUAAUCGAGCCUGACGGUACCGGGUGAGGAAGCACCGGCUAACUCCGUGCCAGCAGCCGCGGUAAUACGGGGGGUGCGAGCGUUGUCCGGAAUCACUGGGCGUAAAGGGCGCGUAGGUGGUUUGAUAAGGGUGUGGUGAAAGUCCGGGGCUCAACCCCGGAUCUGCCGUGCCGACUGUCAAACUCGAGGGCUGUAGAGGCAGACGGAAUUCCGGGUGUAGCGGUGGAAUGCGUAGAGAUCCGGAGGAAGACCGGUGGCGAAGGCGGUCUGCUGGGCAGUUUCUGACACUGAUGCGCGACAGCGUGGGGAGCAAACAGGAUUAGAUACCCUGGUAGUCCACGCCGUAAACGAUGGGUACUAGGUGCCUGGGGGAGCGACCCUCUGGGUGCCGGCGCUAACGCAGGAAGUACCCCGCU
rnacentral:rRNA from 1 species